rnacentral:rRNA from 1 species
AACGAACGCUGGCGGCGGGGUUUAGGCAUGCAAGUCGCGCGAGAAAGCCUUCGGAUGAGUAAAGCGGCGUAAGGGUGAGUAAUGGUUAGUCAACGUACCAUUCAGACGCGGAUAAUUCGCCGAAAGGUGUUGUAAUACGCGAUGAGACCACGGGCAGUACGCUGCUAGGGGUCAAAAGUCGGGGAUCCUUCGGGACCCGGCGCUGUUUGAGCGGACUAACUCUGAUUAGCUAGUUGGCGGUGUAACGGACCACCAAGGCGAUGAUCAGUAGCCGGGCUGAGAGGCUGUCCGGCCACACGGGCACUGAGACACUGGCCCGACUCCUACGGGAGGCUGCAGUCGCGAAUUUUUCACAAUGGACGCAAGUCUGAUGAAGCCACGCCGCGUGCAGGAUGAAGGCCCUCUGGGUUGUAAACUGCUGUCAGGGAGGGGAAACGCUGGGUGUUAACAGCAUCCAGUUUGACUGCUCUCCAAAGGAAGCCCCGGCAAAAACAUGUGCCAGCAGCCG